ensembl:lncRNA
CGCUACGCCGUAGCUGCACGUGUUGUGUUCAGAUGUCGCUGUGCGUCGACAUGUAGGUCGUUGCCCUUUCCCAGCUCGACCUCCUCAGGAGCUUCAUUUUUAUUAAUACCUGUGUCAUCUUUCUUCACCUUGAAUGCAACAGCAAGAGGAAUCUACAUAUGCCGUUUACUGCUGCUGCUGUAGGUUCGUUUCAUUGGGCCUAAAUUUCCGGUUUCAAUCAUUUUUUAGAAGAAAUGCUUAAUUUGCAUCUUUAAAUCAGGACCUUUAAUUGUGUAUGAGAAUGUAAAAUCCUCCUUGCGAUUUUUUUUUGUGUGGAAUGGGACUUAAUGGCACCGUACUGUCCCAGCAGGCUAACACAAACAGCUGUAUUGCUCACUGGCAUGUACUGAAGGUCAUUCACUGCUGCCUUCAAGUGCCGUCAGGAAACUGCAAAGACAAAAAUGAUCAACAUGUGUCCAUUAUACAGUGGGUACAGAAACUAUUCAGAACCCUUUAAAUGUUUCACUCUGUUUCAUUGCAGUAUUCAGACACUCACAUGCUGUCCAUUUGUUCUCCUUGAGAUGGUUCUACUCCUUCAAUGGAGUCCUGCUGUGUUUAAAUAAACUGAUUGGACUUGAGUAGGAACGGCACUCACCUACAUAAGGUCUAUAUGAGACCUCACAGCUCACAGUGGAUGUCAGAGCAAAUGAGAAUCAUGAGGUCGAAGGAACUGCCCAAGGAGCUCAGAGACAGGAGUGUGGCAAGGCACAGAUCAAGAGUGAAAAAUGUACAGGGGUCUGAAUACUUUCCGUACCCACUGUACGUUUCAGAAAUCCAGGGACAUGAUUUAUGCUGAACCAUAAUCGUAUCCUUCGGUUUUCAUAAUCUGAAGAGUCCAGGAUAAGGUUGAUAACUGUAUUAUGAAAGGAAUAAAAACACCAGAUGUGGUAAACAUACAAUAAACAAACAUUUUCUUUUGUUUUUCCAGUGUUUUUUACAUGAAUAAAGUGAAUUGUUCAUGUGUGCCGUGCGUGGGCGUCGUGUAAAGCCAACCUAGAUGAAACUGCACUGACUCCAGUACCAUCAGAAAUAUUGUACCAAUCUGAUACACACAAACAAUCCAAAAAAUAAGUGUUGAUUGCAUUUCUAAAAGGUUGCAAUUUCCCAUGCUUCUCUGGAUUACUGUGACAUUUACAGGUUGGGAAAGCUCCAUUAACAACUGAGUGAAAAUUAUUAUUUGGUCUAGCAGCACUGUGUAAAUAACAACCAUCUCAUAUUUCUAUGACCUAUUUAUUACAAAAACAUUGAUAUAGAAUUAACACACAAGCUGAGCAAGACAUUUGUAAUCACUACUUUGCUAAUAGAAAUAAGAGGACAUGAAGUCGCUCAACGGGGAAAUGAGCAAAUAGCGCUGCUGCCCCCUUGUGGCGAAGAUAGAAACACACCUCAGAUGACCCUUCAAAGGGUCAGCAGCUGCGGGAAAAGUCCCGUUAAAGAAAUACAUGAAACUACAUUACUGGUAGGCAGUGGUUUUAUUUGACAUAGAACGAUAAACAAGGCACAAAAAAACCUUCGUAGGUGGAGUGGAGGUGGUUCUGCGUUGACGUCAGCUCGCAGGUAACCAGGUGAACAGGUGCUCAUCGCUCCGCUAGUAGCACUGCUAAUUAAUUAAUUAACGUUAACCGCUCGCGCUAACUCGCUUCACCUGUCGGCUCGCUGCCGGAGAACGAGCUGAACACCUGGAUGGGCGUUUAAAAAGGUGAAUAUCGAGCUAAAAGUCAUCAAGUGGACAGAGACACGAUGUCAAUGGGACUAAAACGGUGUUCCUCGCCUCCCGGACGUACAGUGGGGCCCCAUGGCCUCCCCCCCAUAUUCCACCUCGCUGCUGUCGUUGUUCCAAGCAGAUUUCACUCCUUUCCGAUGUCCAAGUAUGAAUCUAUAUUUGCUCUUGAGAGCAAAUAUCUUGCAUCGCAAACAAAAAUUCAAGUUUGUAUGUAAAAAUGUAUGAACUGAGAAUAUAUUAUCUGUUUAGUUUUUCGUAUGAAACUAGAAUUUUUGGCUGCAAAACAAAAAAUGUUGCUCUCAAGAACAAAAAAAACUUUCUCUGUUGGAAAAACCGCAUCAAUGGUCCACUUUCGUCCGACAGAAAGUCGGUGCUCUUUCACAUGGAGGCACAAGGGGUUCUGGGUCCUCUGAUAAUCAAGAUGCGUUGGUUUAAAAAAAAAAAAGGCUUUGGUCUUCUAACAAAAACGUGUGCGUAAUGAACCAGGAGUUUCUAUUGGCGGUUUGACAAGGCGCUCAGUGUUUAAACACUGACGAGGGGGAAGUUGGCUUUGUAGUUUCUCUAAUUUAUAUUAAAUGCAGCAGCAAAUCAUUUAUUUGUUGUGUUUGUGUUGCACGGUCUUUAUUAAAGAACGACAUGGGGGGGGCGGCUGCUGUGUUGACAUGAAGCGCCACUUUCUACGUGCAUGUGGGCUCAUCAUUCUGGUUUUUACCUUGUUGGCAGCAGUGCAAUUAUGCAACUGUCAUGUAAUUGUGCCUUUUAUUUAACUGUUUGCAUAUAAAAUGACCGGGAGAUGUUUAUUUUGGUCUCUAUGUAUUUCACCUCAAGAUGCACAACCUGAAGGGGACGAUGCAAAAGAGGCUUUGACUGUAGCCUCAAUCAUCCAAGAGAUGAUUGGAGAUUAUGAAUCUUUUAAACGCUGACAUUAAGUAUUUUGCAGGAAUCGAUAGGAGUGUGAUAAAUGUGUAAAAUGGUUGUUGGCAAGAGCAUGCUUCUUUGUUAUAGUGUGUAUAUGUUUGUUGUUCUCUUUAGUGAAACAAAAUGUAUAUUACACCUUGUUAUAAAGUGAGUGAGAAAAAUAAACACACAGCUAUCUAUUUACCGUGUUUUAUUAUUUAAAAGUGCACGCAUGAGAUUUGCAUUAAGCAUCCAAAAAAUGAAGCCAGUUGAAGGACAUGCGUGUAGGAAGAGGAAUUGAAUGUGUGGUGGAAAUUUGUUGAUUUUAGCCCUUGUGAGGAAUCAAAAGUAUCUUGAGCUUGUUUUGUGAUUAAGUAUUUAUUACUAACUAGAAUAUAGAAAAAUGAUAAAGAAUAUAGAAAUCAUCAACACAAGCCGUACAGACCGAAGUCAAAUGACUACAAUUCAGCUGAAAAGGGGCAGAUGGUUCUUUCUCCCAAGAGGAGCUAGAAGAUCUGACCCAGUUUCUGGGGGAGAACCGGAGCUUUUAUACGUCUCUGAAGGUUCGAGGAAAACGGCAGACCCCCCUGCCCCCCCUACAAGGUGAGAUUAGUUGUAAACAGACGUCGUUGGGCGGAAAACCCGUGACCCUCUCUUAAUGGGACCUAGUCAAUCAUAUUUGACAGACUAAAUGGAUGGAAGUAGAGAAGAACAGGAUACGGGUCAGUCCAGGCACCUAACUUCCAAACAGGAUGCCCUCGUGAACUAGGUCAGGUCACGAGUUUCCCAAGAAAGGUCACACACACACAGAGUUCUUGAGACACUCACAAGAUCCAGCUCAACGAAUUCUCCCCCGACAGACUGCAUGGCAGUAAGACCUUCAGCUGACCAGUGGAUCAGCACCGCCAGGUUCCUCAUGGUAUUCUGCCUGCAGGGUCUGCCAUGGCCCAAAUACAUUAAUUAUGACAGUUUGGGUUAGAGUGAUAAAGCAAAUGAAUGAAUGCUUCACGUUUAAUUGCAUUUCUGUUAUUGUGCUAAAUGUGUAGUAGACACAGUAAGCUACUUGUAUUCCUCCAAUCCUCCAAAGCUGAUUAAUCAACAAUUCUACCUCGGCCAGAGAGAAACAAGCCCAUAAACUCAGAUUGCAAAUGUUUUUGUUCCCAAAGCCUUAUUUUUUUUAAUUGGAUGUCCCAGAACACCACGUGCCUCUAUGUGAAAGCGGAUGCUUUCUGUCCUACUGAGGUGGAACAUUG